rnacentral:rRNA from 1 species
GUCGAGCGAACGGACGAGAAGCUUGCUUCUCUGAUGUUAGCGGCGGACGGGUGAGUAACACGUGGAUAACCUACCUAUAAGACUGGGAUAACUUCGGGAAACCGGAGCUAAUACCGGAUAAUAUUUUGAACCGCAUGGUUCAAAAGUGAAAGACGGUCUUGCUGUCACUUAUAGAUGGAUCCGCGCUGCAUUAGCUAGUUGGUAAGGUAACGGCUUACCAAGGCAACGAUGCAUAGCCGACCUGAGAGGGUGAUCGGCCACACUGGAACUGAGACACGGUCCAGACUCCUACGGGAGGCAGCAGUAGGGAAUCUUCCGCAAUGGGCGAAAGCCUGACAGAGCAACGCCGCGUGAGUGAUGAAGGUCUUCGGAUCGUAAAACUCUGUUAUUAGGGAAGAACAUAUGUGUAAGUAACUGUGCACAUCUUGACGGUACCUAAUCAGAAAGCCAUGGCUAACUACGUGCCAGCAGCCGCGGUAAUACGUAGGUGGCAAGCGUUAUCCGGAAUUAUUGGGCGUAAAGCGCGCGUAGGCGGUUUUUUAAGUCUGAUGUGGAAGCCCACGGCUCAACCGUGGAGGGUCAUUGGAAACUGGAAAACUUGAGUGCAGAAGAGGAAAGUGGAAUUCCAUGUGUAGCGGUGAAAUGCGCAGAGAUAUGGAGGAACACCAGUGGCGAA